rnacentral:rRNA from 1 species
CCUACGGGAGGCAGCAGUGAGGAAUAUUGGUCAAUGGACGCAAGUCUGAACCAGCCAUGCCGCGUGCAGGAAGACGGCCCUAUGAGUUGUAAACUGCUUUUGUACGAGGGUAAACGCAGAUACGCGUAUCUGUUUGAAAGUAUCUUACGAAUAAGGAUCGGCUAACUCCGUGCCAGCAGCCGCGGUAAUACGGAGGAUUCAAGCGUUAUCCGGAUUUAUUGGGUUUAAAGGGUGCGUAGGCGGGCGGAUAAGUUAGAGGUGAAAUCCCGAGGCUCAACUUUGGAAUUGCCUCUGAUACUGGUCGGCUAGAGAGCAGUUGCGGUAGGCGGAAUGUGUGGUGUAGCGGUGAAAUGCUUAGAGAUCAUACAGAACACCGAUUGCGAAGGCAGCUUACCAAGCUACUACUGACGUUGAGGCACGAAAGCGUGGGGAGCAAACAGGAUUAGAUACCCCUGUAGUC